rnacentral:misc_RNA from 1 species
UCUCCGUUGGUGAACCAGCGGAGGGAUCAUUACAGAGUUGCAAAACUCCCAAACCAUUGUGAACGUUACCUAUCCCGUUGCUUCGGCGGGCGGCCCGGGCCCCGCGCCCGGCGCCCCCCGGCCCCCCGUGGGCGCCCGCCAGAGGUAAACCAAACCCUUGAAUUGCAUGGCCUCUCUGAGUCUUCUGUACUGAAUAAGUCAAAACUUUCAACAACGGAUCUCUUGGUUCUG